rnacentral:rRNA from 1 species
UACAGAGGUCUCAAGCGUUGUUCGGAUUCAUUGGGCGUAAAGGGUGUGUAGGUGGCGCCGUGAGUCGGGUGUGAAAUCUCGGGGCUUAACUCCGAAACUGCAUUCGAUACUGCGGUGCUUGAGGACUGGAGAGGAGACUGGAAUUCAUGGUGUAGCAGUGAAAUGCGUAGAGAUCAUGAGGAAGACCAGUGGCGAAGGCGGGUCUCUGGACAGUUCCUGACACUGAGACACGAAGGCCAGGGGAGCAAACGGG